rnacentral:misc_RNA from 1 species
AACACUGUUAACCUGCGGUACCUGCGGAGGGAUCAUUACCAGAGUGCCUUCAGGCUCUCCAACCCACUGUGAACAUACCUACGUUCCCCCGGCGGGCUCAGCGCGCGGCGGCUCCGGCCGCCCGCGUCCGCCGAGGGCAUCUCAAACCCGAAUUUAUUCGUGUCUUCUGAGGGGCGAAAGCCCGUAAAACAAAAUGAAUCAAAACUUUCAACAACGGAUCU